ensembl:rRNA 5S_rRNA 5S ribosomal RNA
UUCACAAGCCGUAUCACCCUGCAGCACAAGACCGGUUACUCACUGAAGCUAAGCAGAGUUGAGCCUGGUCAGUAUCUGAAUGGAAGAUCGCAUGGGAAAACUAGGUUGCAGUUGGAA